rnacentral:rRNA from 1 species
CCACCACUAAGCCAGUGGUGAACUCCACAUCCGCAUCCUUUGCUGAGGAUACGGUUAACGGAGCGAAAGCGACGUUCAACCGCAAAACAAGCAGAGGGGGCUUAGUGGUGGGGUGACUGCGUACCUUUUGUAUAAUGGGUCAGCGACUUAUAUUCUGUAGCAAGGUUAACCGUAUAGGGGAGCCGGAGGGAAACCGAGUCUUAACCGGGCGUUAAGUUGCAGGGUAUAGACCCGAAACCCGGUGAUCUAGCCAUGGGCAGGUUGAAGGUUGGGUAACACUAACUGGAGGACCGAACCGACUAAUGUUGAAAAAUUAGCGGAUGACCUGUGGCUGGGGGUGAAAGGCCAAUCAAACCGGGAGAUAGCUGGUUCUCCCCGAAAGCUAUUUAGGUAGCGCCUCGUGAAUUCAUCUCCGGGGGUAGAGCACUGUUUCGGCUAGGGGGCCAUCCCGGCUUACCAACCCGAUGCAAACUGCGAAUACCGGAGAAUGUUAUCACGGGAGACACACGGCGGGUGCUAACGUCCGUCGUGAAGAGGGAAACAACCCAGACCGCCAGCUAAGGUCCCAAAGUCAUGGUUAAGUGGGAAACGAUGUGGGAAGGCCCAGACAGCCAGGAUGUUGGCUUAGAAGCAGCCAUCAUUUAAAGAAAGCGUAAUAGCUCACUGGUCGAGUCGGCCUGCGCGGAAGAUGUAACGGGGCUAAACCAU